rnacentral:lncRNA from 1 species
CCCAUAAAGAAGCUUAUGGCAAAGGAGGGUUUAAAAAAAAAAAAAAAAGCAGGUUCUCAAGUUCACUCUUGAUUGCACCCACUCUGUAGAAGAUGGAAUCAUGAUACUGCCAAUUUUGUGCAAUUUUUACAGGAAAGGAUCAAAGUGAGCAGAAAAGCUGAGAGUCUCGGUGGAGGGGGUAUGACCAUCAAAAUAAGCAAGAGCAAGAUUACUGUGACUUCUGAGGUGCUUUUUACCAAAAGAUAUUUUAAAUAUCUCACCAAAAAAUAUCUGAAGAAGAAAUCACCUACUUGAUUAGUUGCACAUAGUUGCUAACAGCAGAGAGUCAGGAAUUACAUUACUCCCAAAUUAACCAGGAUGCAGAAGAGGAGGAAGAUGAGGAUUAA